rnacentral:lncRNA from 1 species
CAGGAACAUUCUACAAAGACCAUAGUUAUCCUAGUUAACACAUAGUUGGUUAAUAACACAGUUAACCCAUAGUUGUCCAGUUUAGUUAUUUUGUUAGAAAUAUAUCCGUCUGCCUAGAAAUUCCCUUUCAGUGGGAGCCUGGAAGGCAGUUCCAGGAGGAAGAUCAGACAGAAGCCUGGGUCCCUCAUGAAGCCGAUGUGCCAUAGGCUGAACAGACCACCCUGCCCUGCUGGCCUGGCCCUGCCCUCGAAGCCCUGCUAGACAGGUCUGAGUUCCAGCCUUUUGCAAACAGCACUGCUGGCCGCAUGGAGAACGCUGGACCAAGCCCAGGACGGAGGAAACAUUCAUCCAGUCUGCACCCAGCGAGGAGCUAGCUGCAGGCGAAGGCAGGCAGCUGGGAGACAGCCUGCCUCGUACACUCAGGGUAACUGGGGAAAGAGAUAGACAAUAAAGGACAACAAGCCAAGUG